UUAUAUGAGAGUUUGAUCCUGGCUCAGGAUGAACGCUGGCGGCGUGCCUAAUACAUGCAAGUCAC
rnacentral:ncRNA from 1 species